GGCCCGCACAAGCAGCGGAGCGUGUGGUUUAAUUCGUUGCUACACGAAGAACCUUACCUGGGUUUGACAUAUAAGUUGUAGGGAACUGAAAAGGGACCGACCCUUCGGGGAGCUUAUACAGGUGUUGCAUGGCUGUCGUCAGCUCGUGUCGUGAGAUGUUCGGUUAAGUCCGCUAACGAGCGCAACCCUCGCCGUAUGUUACAAGUGUCAUACGGGACUGCCGGUAAAAGCCGGAGGAAGGUGAGGAUGAUGUCAAGUCAGCAUGACCUUUAUAUCCAGGGCUACACACACGCUACAAUGGUCUGUACAAUUGGUUGCCAAGCCGCGAGGCGGAGCCAAUCCGUAAAGCAGGCCUCAGUUCAGAUUGCAGUCUGCAACUCGACUGCAUGAAGCCGGAGUUGCUAGUAACCGCAGGUCAGCAAUACUGCGGUGAAUACGUUCCCGGGUCUU
rnacentral:rRNA from 1 species